GCAGCUGGCCGGCAGGGGUUCGAGCCCCCGUCCCGCACCAGGCCUCCAGCGAAGGCGAGCCAAGGUUGGUUCCUAUCAAAAAAAAAAAGGAAAAAAAAAAGAGUCAGCCUCCAAGGCACCAACACAGCCCACCCAGCGGCCAGGGUGGACGCCGGGGUACGGCGCAGAUGAGCGGGAGGAGGGAAGCGAUGUGCUGAUGCACGGCCUCGCGGCGUUCAUGCACCAUGCCGUCCGACCUCGCGGCGUUCAUGCGGCAUAUAAGAUGUUCGGUGUAUGAGCGGUGGUGAUCGAGGAGUGGGGCGCGGUGCUGGAGUGUUCUGCGGCGGCGGCGCAGUGCCGUUCAUGGGCAGGUCAACAGCUUAAGGCCGGCGUCCAAUUUGCUGUGAGCCCUUUCUCUCUGUUGGGUCAAAUCCAAUUUCCUACGUUUCAAGAUAGAGAAUUUAUAAUCUUUUGCCAACACGUUGCUGCCAAAUCCAAACAUUAGAAUAUUUGUUCAGCGUGAAAAAAGUAGAUCCAUGGAGGAGUUAUUUUUAAUACCUGUAAUUUGCAGACAUAAUGCUAACAAAGUCUACCAGUUGAGGCCGUUUUCUUGCACAUA